GAAACUAACAAGGAUUCCCCUAGUAACGGCGAGUGAAGAGGGAAGAGCCCAAGAUUGAAAGCUGGCGUCUUCGGCGUCCGCAUUGUAAUCUCAAGAAGUGUUUUCCGCUUCGGACCAAGCCUAAGUCCCCUGGAAAGGGGCAUCAUAGAGGGUGAUAAUCCCGUACAUGGCUUGGAGCGCCCGUAGCUUUGUGAUACACUUUCUAAGAGUCGAGUUGUUUGGGAAUGCAGCUCAAAAUGGGUGGUAAAUGCCAUCUAAGGCUAAAUAUUGGGGAGAGACCGAUAGCGAACAAGUACAGUGAUGGAAAGAUGAAAAGAACUUUGAAAAGAGAGUUAAACAGUACGUGAAAUUGCCAAAAGGGAAGGGUAGGAGGUCAGAGAUGCGGCCUAGGAUUCAGCCUUGCUUUUGCUUGGUGUUUUUCCUAGAUUGCAGGCCAACGUCGGUUUUGGGCACUGGAGAAGGGUGGAAGGAACGUGGCACCUCUCGGGGUGUGUUAUAGCCUUCUACUGGAUACAGCGACCGAGACCGAGGACAGCAGCGUACUCGCAAGAGCGGGCCUUCGGGCACCUUUACGCUUAGGGCGUUGGCAUAAUGGCCCUCU
rnacentral:rRNA from 2 species